UACGGAGGGUGCGAGCGUUGUCCGGAAUCAUUGGGCGUAAAGGGCGCGUAGGUGGCACGAUCAGCGUGCGGUGAAAGCUCGGGGCUCAACCCCCGGGUCGGCCGUGCGAACUAUCGAGCUGGAGCACUGUAGAGGCAGGCGGAAUUCCUGGUGUAGCGGUGGAAUGCGCAGAUAUCAGGAGGAACACCGGUGGCGAAGGCGGGUC
rnacentral:rRNA from 1 species